GCCCCUGUAGCUCAACGGACAGAGCAGAUCCGUCCUAAGGAUAAGGUUGCCCGUUCGAAUCGGGCCAGGGGCGCCA
rnacentral:tRNA from 1 species